CACUGAGACAGAUACCUGCCUGUGGGAAUUGGAAGUGCUCUCCAGGAACUGCGAUGCCUUGAGCUGACAAGUCCUGGCACCCUGCCAGACUGCUGGGAUCAGCACCCUGCCAAUGGCUGCCUCGUUCUCAUAAACACACAGAGCCCCAAAAAGAAACAGAACAAAUAUUUCCUAUGGUAAGAAUGGUGAAGUCUUAUUGGAAGAAGUCAGAGUAUGGCACACGGAAAGAGCCGGCAGCCUCCAAUUCCUACUUAUCCUGUUAGGCUCAUAUUUUGGCAUUUCUGUUUUAUGCUAAACCUGGAUGUUGGAUUAUGACCCACAGCUGCAACUUUCUGCGCUCUCAGAAUUGCAGAGAAGACCUGAAGAGCCUUGGGAGGAGGCAGAUUAUUUAUUUCCAAGACAGCGUGAAUCCCCAAGUGUCACUGAGAAAGUAAGGAGGAAAACGCAAUUCCAGUUUUGGCCUGAGAGGAGCAUCAGGGACAGCACUGCAAGAGAUCUUCCAAAGCAUGCAAAGCUUUCUAUGAAUUGAGAAAUUAAGAUAAUGGGGUCACAGAAAUAAAUCCAGUGCCAGUGCUUUGGCCUGAGAAGAAAUAAACAUUUGACACUUCAGGACACGGCUCUGAAGCAUCCAGUGCUGGGAGGAAACCUGGAACAUUUGAAGCCCCAUUGUGCAAACAAGUAGAUAGCAGAGAAAAGAAGCAACCAUCAUAAGCCUUAAGAAAAUGCUAUCAUUAAACACAUUUUCUUUUUGAAGAAGAUACAAGUACCAAGAAAGACUGUACGCAACUUGUGUGCAACUAUGACAGCUUACUGUGAGAGUGUCACCUUUCAGCUGAGGGCUUCCAGUGACAGGAGUUUCCCUGGUGCUGUGCACAAAGCUCUUCAGCUACAAGUGGAAGGGAAGAUAGACCUCUUGCAGCCACUUCAGGAUUUCCACUUGGAAGCCUAGUAACAAAACACUGAAUUGAAAAUAAUUAGAAGUA